rnacentral:rRNA from 1 species
GAGUUUGAUCCUGGCUCAGAUUGAACGCUGGCGGCAUGCCUUACACAUGCAAGUCGAACGGCAGCAUGAUCUAGCUCGCUAGAUUGAUGGCGAGUGGCGAACGGGUGAGUAAUACAUCGGAACGUGCCCUGUAGUGGGGGAUAACUAGUCGAAAGAUUAGCUAAUACCGCAUACGACCUGAGGGUGAAAGUGGGGGACCGCAAGGCCUCAUGCUAUAGGAGCGGCGAUGUCUGAUUAGCUAGUUGGUGGGGUAAAGGCCCGACCAAGGCGACGAUCAGUAGCUGGUCUGAGAGGACGAUCAGCCACACUGGGACUGAGACACGGCCCAGACUCCUACGGGAGGCAGCAGUGGGGAAUUUUGGACAAUGGCGAAAGCCCGAUCCAGCAAUGCCGCGUGUGUGAAGAAGGCC